GAUUGAAUCGACGCUGGCGGCGUCACGCCAGCGCCUGC
rnacentral:sRNA from 1 species